AUGUAUAGUAAGGCGUUUUUAGCCGAAAAAAAACGACCAUGUAUAGCGUUUUUAGCGGAAAGAAACGACCAUGUAUAGUAA